rnacentral:misc_RNA from 1 species
GCAAACUUGGUCAUUUAGAGGAAGUAAAAGUCGUAACAAGGUUUCCGUAGGUGAACCUGCGGAAGGAUCAUUAACGAGUUAGGGUCUUCUAGGCCCGACCUCCCAACCCCAUGUUUACUAAACCUAUGUUGCUUCGGCUGGCCCGUCUCACGACCGCUGGGGGACCGUAAGACGUCCUCUGGCCCGCGCCCGCCGGUGGCCAAACUCUGAUAAAUUCUGAUAAAACUGUGUUAACUGUCUGAGUUCCAUUCUUAAAUAAAGCAAAAACUUUCAACAACGGAUCUCUUGGUUCUGGCAUCGAUGAAGAACGCAGC